CUCGUAGGUGGUUGCGUAAGUCGGAUGUGAAAACUCAGGGCUUAACCCUGAGACGCCAUCCGAUACUGCGCUGACUUGAGUCCGGUAGAGGAGUGUGGAAUUCCUAGUGUAGCGGUGAAAUGCGCAGAUAUUAGGAGGAACACCAAUUGCGAAGGCAGCACUCUGGGCCGGUACUGACACUGAGGAGCGAAAGCGUGGGUAGCAAACAGGAUUAGAUACCCUGGUAGUCC
rnacentral:rRNA from 1 species